GGGGAUUUAGCUCAGUGGUAGAGCGCUUGCCUAGGAAGCGCAAGGCCCUGGGUUCAAUCCCCAGCUCCA
rfam:Rattus norvegicus chromosome 13, whole genome shotgun sequence.